rnacentral:lncRNA from 1 species
GUUUGGAGAAGGAUCCAUGUGCUGUUGAGAAGAAAGUGUAUUUGCUCAUUGCUGGAGGGAACAUUCUAUAUAUAUCUGUUAAGUCUAGCUUAUUAAUUAUCUUACUGUAUUCUAUAGUUUCUCUGUUUAGUUUUUGUUUGGAAGAUCUAUCCAGUGGUGAGAGAGGUAUAUUAAAGUCACACAGUAUUAUUGUGUUGUGGUCUAUUUAGUUCUUGUAGUUGAGAAGGGUUUGUUUGAUAUACAUAGAUGACCCGUUGUUUGGGGCAUAGGUAUUUAUGAUUGUUAUGUCUUGUUGAUGCAUGAAUCCCUUAAGCAGUAUGAAAUGGACUUCUUUAUCCCUUUUCACUAGCUUUGGUUUGAAGGUCUACUUUAUCGGAUUUGAAGAUGAAAACCCCUGCUUAUUUACAUGGUCCAUGUGAGUGGUAUGUUUUUCCCACCCUUUCACCUUCAGUCUGUGGUUGUCUUUUUCUGUGAGAUGAGUCUCUUGAAGGCUGCAUAUUGUUGGUUCUUUUUCUAAAUUCAGCCUAUCAGUCAAUCUAUGUCUUUUAAUUGAUGAGUUUAGGCCGUUCACGUUCAGGAUUAUAAUUGAAAUAUGAUUUGUAUUCCAAGUCACUUUGGUUUAUUUUUGGUUUUUAACUUGACUUGGUUUCUCCUUUGAUUGGCCUUUCCUUUAGUAUAGUUCCUUCCUUUGCUGAUUUUCAUUGUUGUUUUUCAUUUCCUCCUGGAAUAUUUUGCUCAGAGUUCUCUGUAGUGCAGGCUUUCUCACUGGAAAUUCUUUUAACUUUUGUUUAUCAUGAAAAGUUUUUAUUUCGUCAUCAAAUCUAAAGCUUAAUUUACUCCACUCACAUGGACCAUCUAAAUAAGCAGGGGUUUCCAUCCUCAGAUAAAGUGGAGUUCAAACCAAAGCUAGUGAAAAAGGAUAAAGAAGGACAUUUUCACAUCCAUUUUCUUUCAGAGCUUGGUAUAUGUUGUUCCAGGGUCUCCUAGCUUUGAGGGUCUGGGUUGAAAAAAUCUCCUAAGAUACAAAUUGGUUUCCCCCUAUAUGUGAUCUGAUUCCUCUCUCAUGGCCUUUAAGAUUCUAUCCUUAUUCUGUAUGCUAGGCAUUUUCAUUGUAAUGUGCCUUGGUAUAGAUCUGUUGUAAUUUUGUAUAUUUGGACUCCUGUAAGCCUAUUACAUUUGAUUUUUCAAUUUAUUCUUCAUGUUUGGGAAAUUUUCUGAUAGUAUUUCAUUGAAGAGAUUGUACUUUCCUUUGGUUUGCAUCUCUAUGCCUUCCUCUAUUGCAAUAAAUCUUAGAUUUGGUCUUUUGAUACUGUCCCAUAAUUUUUGGAUGUUCUGUUCAUAGUUUCUUGCCAUCUUCACUGUGUGAUCAACGUUGUUUUCAAGAUCAUAUAUUUUGUCUUCAUUAUCUGAUGUUCUGUCUUCCAAGUGAUCUAAUCUAUUGGUGAUGCUUUCUGUUGAGUUUUUUAUUUGGUUUAUUAUUUCCUUCAUUUCAAAGAUUUCUGAUUUUUUUUCAGAAUCUCUCUCUCUUUCUUGAAGUAAUCUUUUGCUACCUGUAUUUGCUCCCUGUAUUUGCUCUCUUUGUUGGAGAAUUUUUGCCUUAAUUCACUUAACUCAUUCUUUAAUUCAUAGAUCAUUUUAAUUAUAUAUGUUCUGAACUCCUUCUCUGACAUUUCAUCAACUGCACUGUCCAUGGAUUCUAUUAUUGUAGUAUCUUGGUUUGUUGGGGCACUUUUCUCCCUUGUUUUUUCAUGAUUUCUAUGUGUCUCCCUUUCUUGCAGUGUGGAUUUGAGGUAUUACAGUUUCUACCCUAUAAUCUUGUAGUGUCCCAGCAGAUUACCCAUACCUCACCUUGGUGUUGGGCUUCUGGUCCCCGGCCAUUGUUCCAUGAUAAAUGCUACUGCAUCUAAAGGUGGUGGUAGCAAUAGUGGAGGUAACUCAGGAUAGCAGUGAGAGUGUCCCAAGAUAGCUGCAACCACUUUCAGAGUUGAGGCUGAAAGGGUGGGCUGGCCUAGUCAGAGAUGCAGCUGCCUCCAGACCCUAUCUGUUGUCCCAAGGUGGAGGCUGCUGCACGGAGAGGGCUAUGACAAUGGCUGCAGUGUCCCAGGAUAGAGAUGAGCUAGACUGGGCUCCAGUGUCCCAAGAUGGAGGUGAACUAGGCCUGGGCUCCCGCAUGGGUCUUGUCUUGCUUUCUAUGGAAAACAAUUUUGAGGGAAAAUUUGACACAAAAUAUUUGGAACACAAAAAGAGUACUCUUGAUUAGCAAAAAAAAAAAAAAAAGUGAAAACAAAAUAGCAAAAUAAAAGGAUUCUUGAAGUUUUUAAGUCAAUUUUAGAAUUUGUAUGAAAGGUGUAGGUUGUAGUAUGGAAAACAGAGAUGUUUUUGUGACUGGACAACAUGGCUGAGUCUGAUUCAAACUGAAGAAGUUUCCUCAUCAAGUGAUGUGUUCAUUUCAGUAUGCUUGCAAGGCAUCCUUGAAAAACACAGAUCAAGAUUAUCCUGCCUCUGAAAUCAAAUGGAAGUGUAGCAUUCUUUGACUGUUGUAUUGGUUAUUAAAUACUAUCAUAAUGUUUCAAUUUUGCAAAGUGAUUUAUGGUAAAAGAAUAACUAGUGCCAUUUUGACAGAGUACAGUAUUUUUUCAGUAGGAAUGGGCUUAUCUUAAAAAAAACAAAAAAGUAUAGAUACAGAUGCGGAUGGAGUCCAGCCUAGAAGAGCAAACCAUGGAUGCAGUGUCUGGAGUGGGGUCCACUCAGCACUCUAGGUGCUCCAGGAGUACCUACAUCAGAGACCAAUAACACUGCUCCUUGAAGAGGGUGUCAUGGGCUGUUCAUUGUCUUCCCUGCUUUUGUUCAAGAUGGCAAAAUCAUAUGUAAAAAGUUGUGUUUUGGAUAUUAAUCUUUUUAGACAAAUCUAUUAUGAAAAUAAAAAUGACUUUGGAGACUUCCUAGUGCAUGAAACAGGUCUUUGUAGUUAGUGUAAUUUUUAUUUGUUAAUGUAGAAAAAUUAAUGUCAUAGUAAAAAUGUAAAACCUAUAUAAAGAAAAUAGUUACUGUCCCCUUUAAUACUUAAGAGUGAUUCACAAGACUAUCUUAUUUCACAUUUAUUAUUUGAAAGUCAAAAUUGAAUGUAUUUUUUAGAUGCAAUCAGAUUGCUGCAAUAUAAAGUUUCAGAAUAGGAUACAGGAAGUUCAUUGGGUAAGUUGAAUGACAUUUCAGUUCACUUAAAUGUGAUGAAAAUUCCUCUUUAGUUGUAAGUGAAGAACAUCCUUCUUUCUUUCUUUCCUAUAAAAAUAUUUCACAAUUCAUUUAAUAAAAACAAAUUAACUUAUAAAUCCAAGACUUCUGCAAUCUACCAUAAGAUUUAAAACAGCUUAACCUUUUAGCAAGGAAAUGCAUUUAAUCAAAAUUUACACCUAUAGAUGCCUGAAAAUGUUACAGCUUGCCACCUUGGCAAAAUUCAUGACGUCUCUACUUAGGUGCCCUCACAUAGUUCAGAGAUCAAUGAAGAGAAAAUCAUUUCCCCACAUACUUAGGAAUCUGUAUCCUCAGAAUACUGUGACACUGGAAAUAGGAAAGAAAUUGUCUGGAUGCUAAACAUGGAGUUGUUUUCCUUCAGCUGGAUUUUCCAGUUAGUAGAUUCCAUGAAGCACACAACUCAUGCACCACGUUAACAAGAUAGGACAUUUUUCGCCUCGGUGCUGAUUUAAAUGUUUUUAAUAUUUCAGUCAGGAAAACAGAAUUUACUUUAUUUGCAAGCAUAAAGCAUUUUAAAGUAGGAAAUUAGAAGUUUCCAGUUAUCAAAUGAGGCAGAAGAUGUCUGCUGCACUGAGAGAGUGAAUCUUAGGAGCCCCUGCUCUGAAUCUUCAGAACAUACGGAAGUUCUUGCAGUCUCGGCAUGCGACCCAGAUGUGUCCAGGAGCCCAGACCAGCCAGCCUGCUGUUAACAGCACCAAUGCAGGUGAAACGCAAGAGAUUUGGAAGCUGCUGUGAAGACCCUGUCCCCUACCUACCCACACAUCUGCCUGUUGUGGCAUCUGAGGAUGGAGGCCCAGUCCUUUUCUCUGCCUUCAAAUCUCAUGGAAAUUCCUCCUCUCACUUCCAACCCUAACUUAGAAUCAGACAGAAAAGAGGAUUCUGGGAAAUGUAGUUUUUGUUUUCCCUGCAAUGCAGAGGACACUACAGCCUGCCAUGGUAAUGAAGCAAACACUGUGAUGUACAGAGAGGACAAAGCAAGAAAAGAACUAUCUUCCAUUAGGGAUUCUAUAAUGAAAAUUAGGACUGCAUCUAGAUGGUAAGUGGGUCAAUUUUUCUGACCACGCUAAGAUGAAUAUAGUUAAGACUGGAGCCCUAGUACCCACCAGUUUCCUUUCUAUCUCCCUUCCUUUGUACCUACUCUCCCUCCUAUAGUAAUUGCUCAAUAAAUACUGAACUUAAUUUAGCACUUAUUUGGGGCCAGCUUUUUUCCAGGCUGCUACAUGCUUGGCACCAGAGAGUUUAAGAGUGAACUGGAAGAAUAUGGUCCUUGCCCUCAGGGAGCUUACAUUUGGCAGUUGUCAUAUGAAAAGCUCUAAUUAGAAGAAAAAUGACCAUUGGGAAAGCAAGAAAAGGGAUAUGUGAGGAUGGAGUCCUCCUGUUUAUCUUGUUAUACACUCACCAAGUAACUGAAUCUAAUUUUCUUUUCUCAAUUAACAGACUAAUAGAAAAUCAAUAGUUUUCUAAAAAGAAGCUAAUCAUUUGAGUGAUGAUUUCUGUGUAAUGUGUCCAAAAGAAACUGUUCUCCUUGGGGCUGCAGUUGGAUAAGAGCUGUGGUGCCUUGAGAGUCUGACAUUUAUGAGACAUUCACAGUUAUUGCUGCCAACAGAGAGGAGAGAAUUAGAAAUAAGGGAGAGAAAGGAAUUUGAAAUCUAAGCUAGGCAUGGUGGUGAAAGUCUAUUAUCCCAAUGACUUAGGAGCCUGAGGCAGGAGAAUCAAGUUCAGUACCAGCCUGUGCAAUUUAGCAAGGCUCUAUCUCACAAAUAAAAUAAUUUGUGGAUAUAGUUUAGUUGGUAGAGUGCUUGCCUAGCAUGCAUGAGGCCCUGGAUUCAAUCUCUAGUACUAGGGAUGGGGGUGGGGAGCAUUUCAUCAGCAUGCAUUUGAAUAAAUGCAUUAAUUAUGCACCUUAUAAAAUGUACCUUAAAAUGUUUGUGAUUUAAUCUUAUCUUGUCCCUUAGCAAUUUUUAAUGAAAAUGGAAUAUAGAGAAAAUCCUCUUAAUGGUUCAUACUAACAUUUUUUUCCCCAUAAUUUAAAUACUGUAUCAACCUGCCCAUUCUUCAUUUGGUUAACAUGAAAAUGAAGCAAUAUCAUACUUUUCUCUAAAUUAUCCUAACUUUAAAUGCAUAAAUUGAACUAAAUAACUAACACACUAAAUAAGAUUUUAUAUACACUAUUGCUCCUGGCAAAUUUUUAAGAGGUUAGUCACCUAAUUACUCAGAGUGGGAUUCUGCAGGUUUUGUGUAGAUGGCGUUUCUGCUUAAAAUGGAAUUGGUGGGAGGCAAAACCAGAUUUCCUGCAUGGUCAUUACAUGAAUAACACCCCUCCUUGUUUCAGAGGGAGUCUUCUAGAACUGAACUGAGUUUUUAAAUAAAUGUGAAAAGGCAUCAAUUCCCACAUUGGCCAACCCCAAGUACAAAUUUUUAAGCGUUUACUGUAAGUACUGUUGGACAGUUAGUUGCUAACUCUAAUACCUAUUAGCCUUGGCAGAUAAUUUAGAAAUGUAAUUACUUAGCCUCAACUAGGAUUGAUUUGUACCUAGUUUCACUUUCUAAUGCCCAGUGAAAGUUUUUAUCAGCGGUUUAGUGGUAUGCCUGAAAUACUGCACUAAGACCAGGAAAGAAAGAAUUAUUUUUCUAGAAACCAGGGAGUUAAGGUACCCAAGAGUUAAGGUACAGUCUUUUUCCUUUUUAAUAAUUUUUCUACAUAAAGAUUUGACAGUGAAAAGCUUUCAGAUCAAAGCUGAUCUUUCUGUCAGUAAUGAGUCCAGAAACAUGCCAAAUUUUAGUGGGGAAUAAGUCAUAUUUUAUUGCAUUCUUUUUACAAACCUAGAUGCUAUAUUCAUUUUUACUGCAUUUCAAGGUGUUUCCAAGUGAGCCUGACCAGUCUGACCUUUUUCCUGCCAAAUUGAAUGUUUCAAGCUCCCUAAAGAUUACCAUGAUUUUAAUAUUUAUUACUAGUUUGCAGUGGGGAGUAUACCAAGAUUUAACAAGAUAACCUUUGUCAUAUUCAUUUUAGUUCUACCCUGGAUGAUUAGGGCAUUUCUUACUCAAAAUUAGGGCCUUUCCUGUUUUUUUCAUUUCUUUUCCUGAUCUGUGGUCAAACAUUUUUCUUAGUACUUCAGAAAGUUUUUAAUGUUGUAUUAAGCUUUCUUAGGUCUGGAACUGAGGCAAGUGACCAUUACUUUCCUUUGGAGUGGCAUGGAUGUUUGUAAUAAAGAGCCCAUUCUCUAUAAUGUGUAAAAUAUAUUUAAUGCUAACUUUGAUUUCAGAUAACUAGAUUCUUGUAAGUUGUAAGAAACAAUACAGGUGUCUUAUAUAUCCUCCAUGCUUUUUCUCCCAAAGUAUCUUAGAAAAGUAUAGUCCAAUAUCACAAUAAAGAUAUUGACAUAGAUCCAGUCAAGAGAAAUUUUACACAUAGAACCUAUUCCAGCACAAGGAUCCCUCAUGUUGCUUUUGUACCUAUACCCACUUUGCUCCCAUCCCUAUCCACGCCUUGAUCUUUGGCAACCAUAAUCUGUUCACCUUUUUUUUCCAUUUCAACAAUGUCAUAUACCUGGAAUCAUGGUAGUACGUAGCCUUUUGGGAUUGAUUUCUCGUUCAGCAUAAUUCUCUGGAGAUUUCUCCCAAUUGCUGUGUAUACGAGUCCAUCUGUGUUCCCUGGUGAAUACUGAUCAUACAACACUUCAUUGAACUAUUCACCUGCUGAGAGGUAUCUGGCCAGUUCUUUUUUUUUUUUUCUAUUAUGAAAAAAAUUGCUAUAAACAUUUGUGCACAGGUUUUUGUGGAGCAUGGUCUCCAUUUCUUUAAGAUAAAUGUCUAGCAGUGCAGUUGUUGGAUCAUAUGGUUGUUGAAUGUUUAGUUUUUAAGAAAUUGCCAAAAUUACUGGUUUCCAAAGUAACUGUACUGUUUUACAUUCCUUUAUGAGUGAUUUAGUUUCUUCAUGUCCUGUACAACAGCCUUUGGUGGUGUCAUUAUUGUUUAUUUUAGUCAUUCUGAUAGGUAUAUAGUGAUAACUGUGAUUUUGAUUUCACUAAUGGUUAAUAAUGUUGAACAUAUUGUCUAUUGCCUAUUUGCCAACCAUAUUUCUUCUCUAAUUACAUAUUUCUUCAUGUCUUUUCCCCUUUUUCUAAUUGAACUUUGUUUAGUUGUUUUGAGAUGUCAGUUAAAAAAAAAAAAAACACGGAUUCUACAUGCCAGUCCUUUAUUGCAUACGUGAUUUGCAAAAUUUUCUCCCAGCCAGUAGCACGCCUUUUCAUCCUCUCAACUGAGUGUUCUGCAGAGCAAAAAUAUUUACUUUUGAUGAAGUCCAAUUUAUCCAUUUUUCUUUUUGAGUCAUGCUUCUGGUAUCAAAAACUCAUUGCCUGACUCUGAUUCCCCAAGAUUUUCUCUUUUAUGUUCUUUUUAAAAAGUAUUAUAGUUUUCCAUUACUUUUAAGUGCAGG